rnacentral:lncRNA from 1 species
AUUUUGAAAUAUGAAGUGACCCGUUUUCAUCUGUGUCUGGCCAUGUCAGUCUGCUGUGUCUUCCUGGGCCAUGGUGGUCUCACAUUACCUCUCAUCUCUUUUCCCUCAAGUUGACUUACUGUGAUAUCUGAAAGAAAUUCUUUUCAGCUGCUUGUGUUUAAGUAAAAUAAUUUCCUGUACUUCUAGGGGAGAAGCUUGGGCUGAGAGAGAGGUCCCGAACUUCAUGAGUCCAGAGCUCUUGUGUCUCUUACUUGCUAUGAAGUUUUAUAAAAUAUGUCUUGCUGGGCUCUGAUGUCUCACGCCUUCCUCACUAUUCAUUGGGCCUUCUCUUCCCUCUGCCCCUGUGGUCUUGACCUCAUCAGUUCAGACUUUUUCCGCAGCAGUUUUCUGCUCAGCACAGGGUCUCGGUUUUCAGGGGGCUCUGGUAUUAACUGUGUGAGUUCACAUCUUGGGCACGUCUGGUGUGCUGUGGCUCCUCUUCUCACCCGUGACUUGGAGCCUUCAAGAUCCCCCUCUCAGUUUCGCUUGCU